UGGAGAUCCUUGUUUGGUGAAGCUUUCCUCUGUGAACUUGGAAUCUUCUGGUACAGAGGACUGACUGUUACAGAGGUUGCCAGGACAGGCUCUAUAGGUGGAAUAACCUGAACGACAGACAUUCUUAUAAGAUGAAAGCGUUCCUCUUAUAGAUCCAGGACCGGACAGGCUGUCUGCUCCACACAGUAACAAAGACUGAAGCCAUAUUGGCAUAGUGCCUGUUACAACACUAAAUGCUUCCCUGUGGCUUUCUACUCCCAGGGAGAAAGAGCAAGGAAAUCAGCAGGGAAACCAGUGGAAGUCAUGGUUUGACAACAUCAAAGAACAGCUUGGACCCUAUCCUUAUAGAGAGGAAAAAGGUUGCCAGGAUCCCAUGAGUUGGCUGACUAAUAAGUGAAAUUCUGCCAAUGCUCCGAUUCAGGAUGGCUUGGGGUGACCCAGUGACUGCUGGCCAUCGCUGGUGGAAGAAGUUAACAGGAAAAAAAGCAGGGAGAUAAAGAAAAAUAACCAAGCAAAUACAGGAAUUGGGAACUCAUAGGAGCACAGAGGGAGUCGCCUCUUGAAUCAGAAACGUCUGUGUUAGUAGUAAGGUCAACAGUGACUUCUGAGAAGCAUUUGCAACAUUUGUUACCGCUUCCGUCCUCUGACAUAGACACAUCAGCGUGUGGUGUUAUUUGUCUUGUCCACACGGAUCAGAAUAAUGGACAACGUGGCAGGGAAAGGCAGAAAAUACAUCAUUUAAGAAGCAGGACGGCCAGAUGUACAUGAGUGCUGGGAUUUCACAUAAAGCGCAUGGGUCAGCCCCUUCCAGUUAUUAUAAACAGCCUUGUGCUCUUUUAUGAAGACCAGAUCCUCAGUGAGGUCUGAGUGACUUAAUUUGCUCAUCUAUGAAAGUGGUUAGAGCAAACCACGGUGCUGCAGGGCAAGGGACAGGCAACUGCCUUUGGGUAAGAAGGGCUGAUGAUUGAUGGUGGGACUAGAUGAUCUUAGUGGUCCUUUCCAACCUUGAUGACUCCGUGACUCUAAGAAGGAGCUUUGUGAACAUACAGUGGGUGAAGGGCUGCUUAGGCUGUGCAAAAAAUGCUUCCUAGUCCUCCUGAAGUGGAAAAGUCUACUAAAUCAGCCUAAAUGAAUUGGAUGAAAGCUACUGCAGCCUUAAGAUUUGCUGACGAGAGAUGUUAAGGUGAGCAGGGUGGCUUUUAGUUUGCUGUAAGUCCUUCUUCAGCGCACCAAUAUGCUCUGUCCCUGCACCUCCUGGAUUUCAGCUCAUACUGAAGAGCACUGCAGGACCUGGAUUCCCCUGGAGAGGAUACCAGUGCAGCACUAAAGCCAACAUUUAAGUGAGAAGAAUGAUUCUACUGGAGAAUCUCUGACCACAGACAUGCAUGCUGCUGGCUCAUGGGUCUUGUUAUCCCUAGAUCAUGGGAUGACCAAUGCAAUAGGGCUGCAGAUCUGUUCACAGCCUCUUUGUUUUAGAAAAAUCACUUCUCUUAUUUCCGUACUUCUGAUUUCUUGCCUCUUUCUGGUUAAAUUCUCAGCUCCUCAGAGAGGUUUGCAACAGAAUCGCGAUCUCUUCUGAGGCCUCUGAACACCGUGGUAAUAUAAAUAAUAAGAAAGCAUUUAUCAAAGCAUACAAAGGAAACUCUUUGUGCUUUGAUUUAAAGAAUGUAAAAUGAGUCUUGGAAAACAUUCCUCCAAAGGAGUAGAGGAUUAAUUAACACUUGCCCAGCCCGCUGUGACCACAAGCAGUGCUAGGAACCCUGUGCACAACUGCAUUACCUGCAGGAGCAUGGGCAGGCACCAGAUCCUGCAGAACAUCUCCUUGCUUUAGCUUGGCUUGCUUUUCUACACCAAGAACACCCAAUGGAAACCAAAGGGGCACACAUGAAACUACACCUUCCCAAUUUUUUUAAAUAGGACAUAGUUUAGCUUCCAUGAGUAUUAGCAUACUUAUUGCUAAGCUUUGAUAUAUUGCUGCAUAUUUGAUUACCAACGUCUUUCAAAGACUUCAACCCAGAAAUUCCCUCCAGGAUGGCAUCUGAGUGACAUGGGGACACCUCACAGCUGCAAAGAGCAAUGUUCCCAUGUGCCAUCUGGUCAGAGCUCAUCAGUCUUCUUUGCUGAAAGAUUUCAGAGUUAAAGUUUAUCGUCUCAGCUGGUUCAAAUUGCAGAGCAUGAGAAGGAGGGAUGGUUUACCAGCUUUUAAGCCAGGAUAAUUUGUUUGCUUUUUUUUUUUUUAAUUGCAAAAAUGGUUUAAAUCCAUCAAGUCACUCUUCACAGUUACAGAGGUGCUAUAAAUCCUAAUCUGUUUGGAACUUAAUUUCUGAUUAAUUUUUUUGCCAAGCACCCUAGUAAAAAUGGAUUCAUUUAAAGCUAUAUGGAGAAAAUAUAUAUAGACUUUUACAGCAGCCAUUAUUUUUUUUUUUAGCUACAUUAAUUUUUUUGUAUGCAUGUUUGAAUCAUUAUAAUAGCAAUAAAAAGAACAGGCAAUUACAUUUCCUGUAAAGAGUCAUUAGGAAUGGAAAUUUAUAAAACCCUGCAUUUAACGUUACUACAUGAGUACAUAUAUGUGCACAUAUACAAAUGUACUUGGAAAAAAUAUGAAUACAGUGGAUAAUUAUGGCAUAUGGGAAGAGAAGGAGGCUAUUCUGGUGUCUAAAAGAGCUGUCUUCUAGCUUUAUUGGAUUGGAGGUAGAUGAUCCUUGAGGUCUCUUUCAGCUCAAGCCUUUCUAUUUAUGAAAUCCCAGCAGUGUUGAGGAGCAUCUACUAUGUGUAGAUGUGGUACUUAGGAAUGUGGUUUAGCAGGUGUUAUAGGUGGUAGGUAAUCCUAGAGAUCUUUUCCAACCUUCAUGAUUCUAUGAUUUUUGUGAUUAUGGUUCCCAAAGAAGAAAUUCAUGCUAUGCAUGAAGCACAACCGUGCAGCAGACCCUCAGGCAGGGAUCAAUGUGGGAUGUUCGGGUGAAUGAAGAGUGUGUCACUGGAAUGCAAGGAGGGAACACCCACAUGCCCAGACCCUGAGAGCUGGACGUAGGGGUUAAAACAAGGAGAGAUCAGUCACAUGUGCAACCUGCCCUCAUUUCUCAACUGAUCUUUGUAUAACACUAUGAAUGCCAGAGCUCAACAGUUAUUGUCUGCAGUCCUGGCCACUGUCUCAAAUCAGGGACAGCAAAUAAACAGUGUUGGCCUUAAAAGACUCUGUUUGUAGAGAGCUGAGUGUUUCUACGUGGUAGUAUUUGUGAAUGCACUGUGAUGAGGAGACAGUGAUCGACACAAGGUUAGAAGGCAGAAAAACAUCUCUUGGCAACCCAGGAGCAAACCCAGCCUGAUACAGGGUUUUUUAGCAUGGUGUGCUGAUGAUGGGAAAGCAGAAUCAGUGUCAUCUCUGCUCACCCCACUUCCACCUCUCCAGGGAAACUUGCUCAGGAAAAAUGGGGUACGUAUUACAAGAAGAGAAACUGUGGAGAGCAGUGGGCUCCUGUCACCUGAGAACAAACAGGAGACCUCCAGAUUUCUCUGCAUGUAGGUGGUCUGGGCUAGUUUAAAUGAAUGCAUUGGAAAUGCAAAGAAAAAGGCCAGGGGAGGAAAGCAUCACUCUCUCACUCAGCCAUUGCAGCACAAGAGGAUUAUUUAUGAACUUCUACUUUAAAAGCAUUGUCAGACCUUGAGGCCAGUUGUUGUGUUAUAAAAGGAGAAGCUCAAAAGCUGAAAGUGUGGCUUUACUUAAAUGCUCAAACUGAAGAAAUCUCCCCCCCCCCCCCCCC